GACGAACGCUGGCGGCGUGCUUAACACAUGCAAGUCGAACGGAAAGGCCCUGCUUUUGUGGGGUGCUCGAGUGGCGACCGGGUGAGUAACACGUGAGUAACCUGCCCUUGACUUUGGGAUAACUUCAGGAAACUGGGGCUAAUACCGGAUAGGAGCUCCUGCUGCAUGGUGGGGGUUGGAAAGUUUCGUCGGUUGGGGAUGGACUCGCGGCUUAUCAGCCUGUUGGUGGGGUAGUGGCUUACCAAGGCUUUGACGGGUAGCCGGCCUGCGAGGGUGACCGGCCACAUUGGGACUGAGAUACGGCCCAGACUCCUACUGGAGGCAGCAGUGGGGAAUAUUGCACAAUGGGCGGAAGCCUGAUGCAGCAACGCCGCGUGCGGGAUGACGGCCGUCGGGUUGUAAACCGCUUUCGCCUGUGACGAAGCGUGAGUGACGGUAAUGGGUAAAGAAGCACCGGCUAACUACGUG
rnacentral:rRNA from 1 species